GACGAACGCUGGCGGCGUGCUUAACACAUGCAAGUCGAGCGGUAAGGCCCUUUCGGGGUACGACGAGCGGCGAACGGGUGGAGUAAUAACGUGGGUGGACCUCGCCCUCCAGCUCUGGGAGUAAGACCCGGGAAACCGUAGGGUCGUAAUAACUGGAUAUGACUCCAUGACGCAUGUUGUGGGGUGGAAAGCCUUGUGCGGCUGAGGAUGGGCCCGGCCGGCCUAUCAGCUUGUUGGUGGGGG
rnacentral:rRNA from 1 species